rnacentral:ncRNA from 2 species
AAGAGGGAACCCGGUGGGAGUCCGGGACUGUCCCGCAGCGGUAUGCAGGAACGACCGCCGUCACGAGCACUGGUCUGGCGAAAAGACUGGGAAGCGACGGCCAUUAGGAACUGCCCGGCUCCUCAGCGGCCGGGCGUGAGCACCCCCCGGUGCGCGCCUGCGAGUCCGAAGACCU